rnacentral:misc_RNA from 1 species
ACCGAUGAGGGCGACUAUCAGAUCAAGAUGCGCAACAUCCGCCGCUUCCUGGAAGAAGGCGACAAGGUCAAGGUCAACAUCCGUUUCCGUGGCCGCGAAAUGAGCCACCAGGAGCUGGGUCGCGAAAUGGCCGCGCGCAUCGAAGCCGAGCUGGGCGAUGAAAUCGUCAUCGAAUCCCGUCCGCGCCUGGAAGGGCGCCAGAUGGUCAUGAUGAUCGCGCCGAAGAAGAAGUAAGCCGCGGGCGCUGGCCCCUCAGGCUGACCAGAAGGACCGCCUUGAGCGGUCCUUCUGCGUUCCGGGCCAGGCAGGAGCCUC